rnacentral:snoRNA from 1 species
AACUAAAAUGAAAAAGAAUAGCUUGUGAAGUGCUAUAUUGUCCCUUCCCCCUGCUGAAAGCAACUGUUUCCUAUAAUCUUUGUCUAGCUCAAUCCUAUAGUAAGACAGGGAUGCUUGGUGUCAAAUGU